rnacentral:lncRNA from 1 species
UAGUCUUGACACGGAUUAGGCAAUGAACAAUAGUAAAAAGGGGAUGGAAACCGAUGGUGACUUCUAGUUCUUUUUGUAGAUCUUGGUAACAAUUUUUUUAUAUCUAGGCUUUUCUUGUUAUUUUUGGGAAAUCUAAUUGGAUAGAAAGAAAGAGGAAGUUGAGACGAGUUUUAGGUUUUUUGGGUUGAAAUGGAUGGUGGCAGACAAUAAAUGAUGGUGGUUGACGAUGGGUGAUAGGGGUGCGAUGGCAGCAUGCCAAAAUUUAGGCGGAGUUGAGAGGUGAAAGGAUGGAGAGGGUGUAGAGAGAAGAAGAAUGAAGAAACGAAAAAAAA